CAGCUUUUGAGAACACCGAGUGGUCUCGCUGGACCUGCCCCGUUGCGGACGCAGCCUCUUACCAGGCAGCCUACCCUGACCUAAAGUAAAUGCAAAGGGGAAUUUCGUCCUGGGUUUUGGAUUUGCAGUAAUAGGUGUGAACAUUCUAGCAGCGGUUUGAUGAUCAUGUAUGAUACUGCAAACAAGA